CGGGCUCCCGGUGCAUGGAGCCUGCUUCUCCCUCUAUGUCUCUGCCUCUCUCUCUCUCUCUCUCUGUGACUAUCAUAAAUAAAUAAAAAUUUAAAAAAAAAUAGAUAUUUGAAUUAGCUGAGAGCUGCAGUCAAAAUUUGUGAGCUGAGAAAGCAUUCCCCUUACAGAACGCUGCCAUGCCUAGGAUUCCUCUAUUCUGAAUAUACUACUCAUCAGAUUGACCCUCCUAAGGAAAUCUCCAGAAUUUAUUUUGUAAAAGUCUUAGGGGUGGCCAUCUGGUUGAAAGAUGGAGGCCAACAGACUUGAUUUGAAACUGUUUGCAUUUUUCUACUCAAAUUGUGUCACUAAGGUGGGCUUGUGGGAGAGGAAGGUUAGACCCCAUUGCCCAAGCUAGCCUUUGGUCCCACGGUACCUGAACACCGAAGGGAGGACUCUACAUGUAAAAACUUUGGAGAACAAAACCCAUAGCAUGAGAAAGAUGAUGGUUCGUGCCAACCCAGGGCACAGAGAGGCUUUGUUGGGCAAAGUUUGGGCUGUUUGGGCUUUUCAGAACACUCAAAACACCUGUUGCCCAGGAUGGGGGUAAUCUCCAUCUUGGUGGUGAAAUGCUGAAACCCCUGCCAAUGCUGAUAGAACUCCUAACAGGAUGCUUCCUUGAUGAAUUUACUAGAACUCAACUGUGUCACAGAUACGAAACAUCUCAUACUAAUCAUGACCUCCACAUUGAACCUUGGGUUGCUUUCCCAACAGUAGCUCCUGCAGUUGUUCUCAGAUGAAAUCAAAUUACUGUGGAAAAAAUGUGUGAGACCGCCCUUCCCACAACAGGGUGAAAAGGGCAGCUUCCCGGGUUACCACACGUUGAAAAAGCUAUCUCACCAACCUACAGGUGGUGUUAUUCAAGCACAAGAACGUGUGGAAUGUGUCAAAUGUGUGUGUCAAAUGUGUGUCAAAUUAGGUAGCCUCCCUCCUGAAACCGUUAAAUCUUUGCAUCUCAUCAUAAGAGGGGGGGGGGCGGGGUUCACAGAGGGGUUGUCGGUGGGAACCCAGCAAUGUAUCAACUGGAACCAAACAUCUCACUGCAGAAACAAGAAGGUGCUUUGCAGUGGCCAAAAGAGAGGGACCGAGCCUGGCACAUUAGACCUUCCUUUAGUAGUUCUUUCCAGAAAUGCUCUGAGUGGCAGUUCCCCACCUUUUAGCAUUCCCGAAAAUAUUUAAGAUAAUGAGACAGGCACUUGGACUUCAAGUUUCUAUUAAGGAGCUUUAAUGAAAAGACUCUUGUGUGUAUAUUGAGCCCCCAGAACUCUGGGACAGCUUCCGGCUGGAAAAUGCCAUUCCACACCCUCCUCCCCCCGGAGCUCUCUGGGCUGGCACCACAGAGACACACCUGCCGUGGGGACCCACCACUGGAUGUCAGCCCAAGGUGUGAGUCCCAGGACAUUUCCUGAGUCCUCAUUUGGCUUUCUCACUCUCUCUGUCUGGGUAAUUGGGAGAAAUAAAUGAGGUAACAACGUCAGGUGCAUAUUAUGCCCUUCCGUUCCAUGAUCCUAUGAAACCCAAGACAAGGUCUUGCAGUGGCUUUGUCAUUACCCUGCGCAGUGGGCACUUGCGUUCUUGUUUGCCCGGCUCCAAUUCCCUCUUUCCCUGAUAACAGCCCCUCGGUCUUUUUCCUGGAGAACCUCUCUGCCAUUGCUCAUGGUUUGGGUGCCCUCCUCUGGCCAACAGCUGAGAACAUGACCCAAGCCAGACCAAGUGGAGUUGCCCUUCUGGGAAUGUGGAUCUCGGGCAGGACCAAUGCCAGGAUAGAAAACUUUCAGAGCUAAUUAAAGCUGGGCUCCAGGCCCCAAAGAGCCUGUCCAUCAGUUCCAGCUCUGCUGCAUCCCUGCAGUUCACCCUGACCCUCACCCCUUCCUCGGGUUCCUGGAGCUACUGCCUACCCUCACAUUAAAUUCCUCCUCCACCUCUCCAAGCCUGGUGGACUUCUGUCCUUUGCAACAAUGUGUCUCAGCUCCCCUUUCCCUGCACAGAAGAAACCAAUUGCCAAGUCACAGUAACUGAGGUGGCAGCAGGAUGAGAAGUGAGCCUCCAUCUCAGCAGCCUGUGCCCCCUCCACUGACCCCUCCUAGGACUCUCCUCUUGGCCCCUCACCUUCCCUCCCUGCCACAUCGUUCUGCAUUCCACAUCAUCCCAGCUCCCCAGCCAUGAUCUAUUUCAACCCUCAAGUCUCCUUUUCCUUUGGUACCAGGUUAUUUUCAUAAAUCUUUCAUUUUAAAAUAAAUCUCAGUGUCUCAUUCACCACAACAUUUCUAAAAUUCAUUCCUCUGCCCCAUUUCUCUGCCAGCAUGCUCAUUCCAGAGGAGGGCCCUUCCCACUUGAAUGUUGGCAGCAUCCUGGCCUCUUGGCUUCCUCUCCUGCCACCUUCCUCUCUCCCAGAGAGAAAAUGAGGUUUGGACUUGGGUGGGUUGAAAGCCCAUCCAUGCAUGCCAUGCAUAACAUUCCCUUCCUCAGCACUGAUGCAUUCUAAGACAAAAAGGCCUUUGAUAAUGUUUCUCUUGGGGCCUGUUUGGCACCAUUUUGCAAAUUGAGAGACAUUGGCUAAGUUCUUCCUGCUGGAGAGUAAGCAGUGGUCACCAACAAAGGGCAAGCUCAGUCACUACCCGGUCUAUAGACUGCCUAUACAGCUGAACCCCACAAGUCACCACAUCCUCACCCAACUCAGGGGUUGAAGGCAUGAGCAUGGUACAUGGAUGGUAUCUAUUCCACCUAAACAUGUUUUACCCAAUCAAGCCACUACAAAAAUGUCCCUGUUUGGCAGCCAGGGAUCAUACCCUCCCCUCAGGAAGUGGUUACAUAUUAAGAAUUCAGGGUACCUCUUACAGCUGGGAAACACAUUCUAUGGGCUGUCCUCUGGGGGCCCAUAAGGAAUUCACACCUGUGAUUAGGUUAACUGAAGGUCCGAUUUCCCUAAAGCCCUGUACAGAUCCAGUUGAGAGAGCAGCUCUCUGGCAACAAACUGAGAUUUUUAGAGAGAAAUAGUGGUACAACAGAUUCGGGUAAUUUAGCAUAUCACAAUAAACAGUGUGACUAGAACUAAGCUAGCUAUUGCCGACACACGCAAUGAAGAGUGGUCUACCUAUGUACAACCUAACCCCUAUCAUUAGAUUUGUACCGAGCAUUUUGAAAAGUCUUUCUGGUGUGAAAUAUUGAAUUGGCUAUUCACUAGAAAUAUCCCAUGCUAUUUAAAAUUAGAUUAGUAUUUUACUUUUGUGUGGUAUUCAGAAAUAGCAUGUUGUACAAUAGAAUUACCACAUAUGUGGAACAUAUGUUCUUGUUCCAGUUGGGAGAAAUUAUUUUUAUAAAUGCAGGCUAGAGAACCUAUUUUUAAAUGAAUUCUCUUAAACUUAAAAUUCAUUUUGAAGCUAAGGCCCACCACCAUUAAAGAGGAGAGGGAGGGAGGGUGGAAGGAAGGGAAGGAAAGUAAAUAGGACAAAAUUCAACAUCUACUUUCAUGGCCAUGUUGAUAUUCAGUGAGUUCUCUAAAGGAUCUCAUAAAUUCAAGGCUCCAGUCUCAGAGCUAGGUUUGAUUCUCCUCGUCUCCAGCAUACUCUUGUGCCCCUGAAAGUUGAAUCAUGGGCCGAAAUUUCCAGUAUUUUCCUUUUCUCCCUUCUUUGAAGUCCAUUAAUCUUCAUGUUGAUUUUCCCUCCACCCUCUUGAAAAAAUGUAUGCGUCCCCAAGUUGGAGAGCCAGGAGCUGGCACCUUGGGACGAGAUCACAUGGAACAAGAAAGGCAGGAAAGGCAAGCGCCUCGCCAGUGUGGUGAGCCACCACCACAAACCAUGGCUGGCAUCUUGAGAAGGGAAGUGAGUCAGUCCUCUGAGUUCUGUGGUGACGAACCCCAGAGCCUCUGUCACCCCCUUCCCUUGCUGUGGGUGCACGCCUGACCAAGCAUGGGGCCUCCUGCUGGGAUGCAGGGCCAGACAGAUGUUCUUUUGUCCUUAACACAACCGUGCAAACUGCUGCUCUUGAAUAUCAAGUGUGGUUCAUAUUCUUAAUCUAAACCCACUUUAAAUCAAUACAUUCUAUUUCCAGUAAAGAGAAGUUGAAUAAUACAUGUCGACGGUGGACUGUGUACUUGGAACUUUUCUGAGGCGACUUCAGAACAGAUGGAAUUACUAUAUAUGUACGUACAUAUGAAGAACAAACGUGUAUAAGUAAGCAUGAAUCCGUGCCUUUGAAUGAUUACAACUGAAUGAAUGCAACAGAAUGAAUCUCCUCAUCCAAACACUCCAUCCAUAUAAAAAACCUGCACGAUGUGAAGGCUGUCAUCUUGGACAAUGAGGUGACCUUAAGGAUGACAGGAUGCUGAGACAGAAAGAUGGACACUGACUCCCUGUAUGAACUACCCUUAGGCUUCCUUCACUUGGAAAGCUCCACUCCAGAAUGCACCCGACUCUCUUCAUGCCUUCACCUGAGCAACCACCAGAGGAAGUGCACAGGGGAGCUGCUGGCCUCCAUGUAGGAAGCAAUCUUCCCCAGGCUCUGAGAGACCCAUCUCCUCCUGAGGCAAAUCCAGAGACGCACACUGCCAGGAGGACGAUCGCUGGAGGCAGACAAGUUCAUUCUUCUGUUUUUGAACUUGACUUUAGAGACAAUAAUCGGGAGAGAAAGGUUUCAGGUUUCUAAAUUUACAAACUAUUUGAGUUUUAUAGAGCCAGCAGACAUAUGGAAAUGUGUGUGCAUGUUUUGGGUUUCACAGUGAUGGGGGUUGGGGGGGCAGGGCCAUGUGCCCUUUGACUCCUACACAAUGAGCAGUUAUCCUGCCCCACAGCCAAACAGUGGCCCCAUCCUGGCAUUUCCUCCCUCGGCUUCCAUUGUGAAUAGACAAGGGCCUGAGAAAGGUAUGGUUAUCAGGAGUUCAAAAACCCCAGGAAUGAGGGUCAUCUGGGUGGCUCAAUGGUUGAGCCUCUGCCUUCGGCUCAGGUCAUGAUCCUGGGGUCCUGGGAUCGAGUUCCACAUUGGGCUCCCCGCAGGGAGCCUGCUUCUCCCUAUGCCUGUGUCUCUGACUCUGUGUCUCUCAUGAAUAAAUAAAUAAAAACAAAACAAAACAAAACAAAAAAACAAAUGAGGAUUUGGGUGAUGCCAUCAGGGGGUCACUGAGACCAGUGGAGGGGAUAGCUGAGGGUAAGAAGAAUCUUAAAUAGACAGCGAAGUGGGGAGAGAAUCAGUCUCACUGCCAGCCUGAGACCAAAUGUGGCAACAGGGGCUGUUGUUUGCCACUCUAACCUCCCAAAUUUCUCCCCUGAAAGUGAGGCCCAUCAGCACCUUGGAAGAGCUACUAUCUGAACCUACAUGGGGAGGUGGACUGGACUCCAGUGGCCAAGGCAGAGGCCCAAGCUGACCUCCCCUCAGGAAAGACCUUACUGUUCUGCUGCCAGAAGUGCCUGAGUGAGAGCCUCCAGCUGCUCGCCUUGGGGAUCCACAGCCGUGCAGGAGCUGAGGCCACUCUCCUCUGGGCAGUCUGCUGGGCAGAGUUAGGGGUGCUAGUGGUGGUGAUCCUCUGCCCACAAGAUCUCUUCAAACAGGCAUCUAGAGCACCAUAUAAGGCGGCCUUCGUCUGAUCCACAUUGUGAUUUGAGUCUCCUCCUGUCUAAUGCUUCUUCCCUUCCCUUCUGUGCCUCUUACAGGUGACAGAUCACCACAGACAAGGCUUUUCCUCCCCCGUCCUGCUCCCUCUCCCUGACACCCCCUUAUCAUUAUUCUUCAAUAAAUGUCUUGUAUCCCUAACUCAAAUGCUGAGGGUCAGCAUCCUGAAGGAUCCAAAUGACAGAGAUGAUUAAAGAAUGGGAGAUCCAGGACACCAGUGGACAACCCCCUCACCCUGUACCAAUUCAGGAUUAAGCCUGGUUGGUCAUUCUUUCUCAAAGCAUUAUGCAUUGGGUAUUAGGUUCCAUUUUCAUUAUCUGGUUUGAGCCGUUACUCCAAUUUGCCUUCAUAUUUAUUUAAUUAUGUAGUGUUUCAACUUAUAAAAAUAAUGCGAGGUAGAAUUCAAGCAGUAGAGAAUUAAAAUUAUACUUCUAUAUUCCAAUCCUAAUCCCCAGAAUUAACCAUUAAUUUGUGUGUCCUUCCAAACUGACAUAUGUUCCUAUAUACCAAUGGGAUUAUAGGAAACAUUGUGACCCAUCCUGCUGUGUAUUUUAAAAUUAAAACUAUUAUUUUGGACUUAUGAUCAUUUUUCAAUAUCAAUAUACGUAAAUCUAUUUCAUUCUUUUUUAACAGCUGUUAUAAUAAUUUAGUAACUCAUGUCAUUGAAUAACUUUAUUUCCAAGAUUUGCCUUUUAUAAAUAUGGCUGCUGUGAAUCUCCUUGUAUUUAUUUUUCUGGAAAGUGAUGCUCCCAUGUUCUCGCCCAUUUUUUAUUGGAGUGUUUACUUUUUUCAUAUUGAUUUUUAAGAGUUCUUUAAAUGUUAAAGAUACUGGCUCAUUUUCUGAUGCACGUUGUAAACAUUUUUCUCUAGCUUUUUAUCUUCUGACAUUGCUUGACAUAUGUUUUUCUUUAUAAGAUUUAAAAUUUGUACAUGGUCAAAUUUAUGAGCAUUUUCUGUUACGAAUUUUAGGUUUGGAGCCUUGCAUUGAAAGGCCUUCUCUAUAGUAAUAGCAUGAAAACAAAUCAUCUAUGUAUAUUUCUAGUAUAUUUGUAGUUUUCAAGUAUUUAAAUCUUUUCUUUUCUGGAGUUUAUUCUGGCAUAAGCGUUCUAGUUUUAUUUUUUUCCAAAUGACUGUCAGUGAUUCUGAUGUCAUGUACAGAACAAACCAUCUAUCCUUCCACUGAUUUGAAAUACCACCCUUGCCACAUUCUAAAUACCCGUAGUACUUCUUUAUUAAUAAGAUUCUUGGUUCCUUUAGGAUCCUUACAGAACCUUUGUUAAUCGACCAUAUGGGAAAAAAUGAAUGAAAUAAAUAACAGAAUGGAAACAAUCACCUACAUGUACAUCAACAGGAAAGUUGUCCAAGGUCCUCAUGGGUUUUACAGAGUGCUGGGUCAAAGGUUGAAUAAGAUGGUCCACACCUUCAGUGGAUGCCAGGCAAGCAAGCAAGGGGGCAUGGAUCGGGGCAAUGCAGAUUCUUGCUGCCCUCUUACUGUGAAAUCCUUCCCAUUAAAG